rnacentral:rRNA from 1 species
UACGUAGGGGGCAAGCGUUGUCCGGAAUUAUUGGGCGUAAAGAGCGUGUAGGCGGUCCGGUAAGUCGGCUGUGAAAGUCCAGGGCUCAACCCUGGGAUGCCGGUCGAUACUGCCGGACUAGAGUUCGGAAGAGGCGAGUGGAAUUCCCGGUGUAGCGGUGAAAUGCGCAGAUAUCGGGAGGAACACCUAUGGCGAAGGCAGCUCGCUGGGACGUUACUGACGCUGAGACGCGAAAGCUAGGGGAGCGAACAGG